AGCAAGGACUCCUUGAUUUGGAGAGCAAUCACAGUCUGUGGAAAAUGGGCAGAGAGGCCACUGGUACAGGAUGGGACCCUCCAAACCCCAAAGGCCCUGAAGGAAAGCAGGUAUAAUGACUAGACCUGGAGCAGCCGUGCCAUACACAUGAAAGGGCAAGAAAACUGCAGACCUCAGUAUUGAAAUCUCUGCAUGAAUGGAUCAAUACCAGUAACUUCAUUCUUCUAGGAUCCUUGUUGCUUGACAAAAUAAACCAAGG
rnacentral:lncRNA from 1 species